rnacentral:rRNA from 1 species
GCUGCUCUGCUGACGAGUGGCGGACGGGUGAGUAAUGUCUGGGGAUCUGCCCGAUGGAGGGGGAUAACCACUGGAAACGGUGGCUAAUACCGCAUAACGUCGCAAGACCAAAGUGGGGGACCUUCGGGCCUCACACCAUCGGAUGAACCCAGAUGGGAUUAGCUAGUAGGUGGGGUAACGGCUCACCUAGGCGACGAUCCCUAGCUGGUCUGAGAGGAUGACCAGCCACACUGGAACUGAGACACGGUCCAGACUCCUACGGGAGGCAGCAGUGGGGAAUAUUGCACAAUGGGCGCAAGCCUGAUGCAGCCAUGCCGCGUGUAUGAAGAAGGCCUUCGGGUUGUAAAGUACUUUCAGCGGGGAGGAAGGGAGUGAGGCUAAUAACCUUAUUCAUUGACGUUACCCGCAGAAGAAGCACCGGCUAACUCCGUGCCAGCAGCCGCGGUAAUACGGAGGGUGCAAGCGUUAAUCGGAAUUACUGGGCGUAAAGCGCACGCAGGCGGUCUGUCAAGUCGGAUGUGAAAUCCCCGGGCUCAACCCGGGAACUGCAUUCGAAACUGGCAGGCUAGAGUCUCGUAGAGGGGGGGUAGAAUUCCAGGUGUAGCGGUGAAAUGCGUAGAGAUCUGGAGGAAUACCGGUGGCGAAGGCGGCCCCCUGGACGAAGACUGACGCUCAGGUGCGAAAGCGUGGGGAGCAAACA